GACGGGGCCCGCACAAGCGGUGGAGUAUGUGGUUUAAUUCGAUGCAACGCGAAGAACCUUACCUGGUCUUGACAUCCCGGAGACCCUUAGGAAACUAGGGGGUGCUUCCAUCUGGAAGAAUCUGGAGACAGGUGCUGCAUGGCUGUCGUCAGCUCGUGUCGUGAGAUGUUGGGUUAAGUCCCGCAACGAGCGCAACCCUUGCCUUUAGUUGCCAGCAAGUUCGGCUGGGCACUCUAAAGGGACUGCCGGUGUUAAACCGGAGGAAGGUGGGGAUGACGUCAAGUCCUCAUGGCCUUUAUGACCAGGGCUACACACGUACUACAAUGGCCGAUACAAAGGGCAGCGACACUGCGAGGUGAAGCCAAUCCCGUAAAAUCGGUCUCAGUCCGGAUUGGAGUCUGCAACUCGACUCCAUGAAGUUGGAAUCGCUAGUAAUCGUGGAUCAGCAUGCCACGGUGAAUACGUUCCCGGGCCUU
rnacentral:rRNA from 1 species